CAGCCUUUCAAGCUCCUCCAUCCAUGGGAUUUUCCAGGCAAGAGUACUGGAGUGGGGUGCCAUUUCCUUCUCCAGAAUUUAUAGCUAGUAAACCACUAUUCUAAUUUUUUGUCACUCACAGCUGAACCUAAUCCUAACUGACACACAUACUCAACUUUUCUGUUAAAGUUAGCCAUAAUGAGUUUCUAUGGUUCGAGAGCAAAGGAAACCAAACACCAAGCAAGGAAGGUAAACGCUUUGGAAAAGUUAAAGGAAGCUGAGGCAAAGUGCACAGGGCUUUAGAAAGAUAUUUCUAAACCACUACUGGCAGGGAAGUGGCGACGAUUAUGUAAGGAGAACCUAGGCAAGCCCAUUCAGUAUGCAGGCUGGAUUUCUAGGCACUGCAGAAAUUCUGAGCAGAGCUGACCUUGUAUAGGUGAGUGUUUAUAAGGUGGUUGAACUGUACUGUGGUUCUGCUCACAUCUGGUGAAGGAAAGAAAACAGCGGAUGCAGUGCUGUGCUGAGAAACAUUUAACAACUGCCUGGAGGUUGGGGGGAGUCAAAUUGGCUGCAUUUCCAGUUUCCAUGGUGUAAAUAUUCUCAUCAAGGUCACCUAAAAGCUACCAAUGUUAUGGCAGUUGGCUCACAAAAUUCAUGAAAACAUCACGAUCUGCUCUUGUGAGCUGGUCUGAGCUGGUAUGCGCUGGCUCCAGCACAUGGGCGAGGGGCAGGGGAGUUAAAAUGGCAAUUCAUGUAAUUAACCUCACUAGGUGCCAGGCACUGUGAGAGGCAUUUUACAUGUAUUAUCUUCCUUAAUCUUUUUACUUUUUAAAGGGGUUCCCUGGUGGCUCAGUGGUAAAGAAUCUGCCUGUGAAUGUGGGAGACAGGUUCGAUCCCUGAUUCAGGAAGUCUUUUGGAGGAAGAAAUGGCAACCCACUCCAGGAUUCCUGCCUGGAAAAUCCCAUGGACAGAGGAGCCUGAUGGGCUACAGUCUAUGGGGUCGCAAAAGAGUCGGACAUGACUCACCUACUAAACAACAAGUAUCCUUUUACUCAACCCUAAGAGACUAUAAACUUCUGGAGGCCUGUUUUUCUACCUGUCUGCCUUCUGCUGCUCACAACUGGAUCACAUUUGACAAUCUACUGACGACCUGAGUGCAGAGAAUAGCCUCCAUCAUUUCUGUGACCCUUGGCCACAUAUCUCCACCGCCCUCCUGUGUCCUGGGCCACUUGUGGGAGGACUGGAUGAGAUAAUGGGUGCAGAACACCCUGGAUUGGUUGGUUCCAUGUGGCCUGUGAGAGAAAGAACUCAACGGCUUAGUUCCCCCUUCAACCUCUUGUCUUCCCUUUCGCAGAAGUUUGGGUCAUGUAUGUGAUCAGAAACACAUUUCCCUUUUUCAAUAAUAGGUUUCUGAAGAAGUGGUUUCUAGACCUCUGAAUGGGUGGUAUGAGACAUCAUCUAAGGAGAACAGGCGGAUGAUGACGGCUUUAAAAGUACUGAAAGCAAAUGAAAGCCAUUCGCUAUCAGUGAACGUUUUCACGGGGCGGCAGUUUUCCUUCUCUCCCUCCACUCGCCAUCUAGCCUGGUGCUGUCCAAUAGAACUCCGUGAUGAUGGAAAUGCACUGUAUCUGUGCUUCCCGAUACAGUAACCAAUGGCCACCUGAGCCUAUUGUAUGCUUGAAGUGUGGCUGAUGUGAAUGAGGAACUGAAUUUUAAAUUGUACUUAAUUUUAAUCAGUUGAAAUUUAAAUAGCCACAUGCUACCAUAUGGGACAGCACAGGGCUAAAUUAAGAGAACCUGGUUCUUUUUGUUCAUUUAUUCAUUCAUCAUUCAACCAAAAUCUUCUGAGUUCUGAGAAUAAGUUAGGCAUAGUACUCAGCCCCCACAGGGGCUUCAGUCUCUUAUCUGGAAGAGCUCAACAUUUGUUGGAGGAAACGAUCUUUUGAGAUGAACUUGAGACUUUCACGUGUCUUGUGGCUACACCACGUCCUCCUAAGAAAAGUAGCUGGAGAUAUCUUAGGCUUGGGUCACCCUGCGGAUGUCCUUACCUCCCCUACUUCCCCUGCUGGGUUAGGAUCUUUGACCCAGCUAGACACAUCUCCCAAGGGCUGGCAAGAGGCCAUCGUUGGCCAGAGGUGAGACUACCCAACACGGCUGCCCAACAAGGUUGUUCUACCUUGGGGCAUGUGUGCAUAGCCCAUUCAGAGUUUGAAAGUGAGACCCAAGAAAGGAGGCAGACAUGAGAGCAGCGUGAAACCUCAAAGACACAAGAGCCAGGGCAGUGAGCCAGGCGAUCGUGUUAAUAAUGAGGACUGUUGAGAGGCAGGGAAGUGUAGAGUUUGGCUGCUUUGUCUCUGGAGCCAACUUCCUGGAACUCAAUGCCAGCUCUAGCCCUCACAGCUGUGCAGUUUUUGUGCUGUCUCCUCGUCUAUGAAAUGGAUAUUGUAAAGGCCUUCUUCUGAGACUUAUCACGAAAAUUAGAUGAACUAGAACAUGAAACUGAACGUGAACAUGGAACUGAUUCUCCAGCUUCUACUCUCUGAUCGAUGUGGUACAAUGCUGGAUUGUGGGAUGAGCUAAAGUAGAGUCUGAAUCUAACUCCCACUAGGUAAUCUUGAGAAAGUGAACUGCCUUUUGGAACCUCUCAGUUUCUUCUACGGUAAAAUGAGGAGACAGACAAGGAUGACAGUGGGGGUUUGUGAAGGUUUAAUGGAUUGAUUCCUCGGUAGUGUUCAGGACAGUGCCUGGGAAGCACUGGGGGGCCCAAACAGUGUGGGCCCACGUUCCUUUACACUCCGUCCCAGGGAGUGCAAAGCCAUGUGGCAGACACAGAGGCUGGGGAGAGCUACUGAACCACAGCGGGGUCUGGGAGGCCGGGAGGCAGGAGGUGCUCCUGGAGCUGCUUCAACAGCAGGGUGGCCCUCAAAUCCACUGUGGCCUCCUGAGGACAUGACAGGCAUCUCAGGGCGCAGCGGGUUCUGGCCCAUCCCUGUCCCCUGACGGAACCUGUGUGUGAACCUCUUCCCUGACAAGGAAAACAUUUUGACUUGGCAGAUCUGAUGCAAGAACUUAAACCAGGGAUGUUUUGAUGUAGUUUCUUAGAACAGCCCUGUCAGACUGUAAAAUGGCUAAUGAUGGCUAUUUCUUUCUUUCUUUUUAUUUAUUUAUUUUUUUUGCUGCACCCCACAGCAUGUGGGACUUCUGUAAUCAGGGGGACCAGGGAUGAAACCCAUGCCCCCUGGAGCGGCAGCAUGGAAUUUUAACUGCUGGACCACCAAGGAAGCUCAGCCAUUUCUUAUAAACUUAAAUAUAUCCUGAGUUAUACUACUCCUAGAUAUUUAUUUAACAGAAAUAAAAACACACAUCCACAAAAAGAGUUGUAUAUG
rnacentral:lncRNA from 1 species